rnacentral:rRNA from 1 species
CAGCAGUAGCCGCGGUAAUAUGGAGGGUGCAAGCGUUAAUCGGAAUUACUGGGCGUAAAGCGCACGCAGGCGGUCUGUCAAGUCAGAUGUGAAAUCCCCGGGCUUAACCUGGGAACUGCAUUUGAAACUGGCAGGCUAGAGUCUUGUAGAGGGGGGUAGAAUUCCAGGUGUAGCGGUGAAAUGCGUAGAGAUCUGGAGGAAUACCGGUGGCGAAGGCGGCCCCCUGGACAAAGACUGACGCUCAGGUGCGAAAGCGUGGGGAGCAAACAGGAUUAGAUACCCCAGUAGUCCCUGUCUCUUAUAA